UUUGCCACAAGGGCAUCACACAGAUGGAAGCUUUGCGGGCUGGACACGGACAUUGAUGGCAUGAAUGAUGAUGAUAGGAGAAGAUGAUUUUCUUCUUUGUGAACGGCGGGAGACAAGCUGGAGAAGUAAGUCAGAUUCCGAUAUUCUGAGCAAGGGAGAUUCCGAUUCUGACAAAAAACAAAAAACUCUGCAUUGGUUUCUAAAAUUGUAUUUUGAUGAUGAAUGAAGUUGAAAUUGUUGCUGAUGAUGAUGGGAAUCGUGACUUUAUUGCUGGUCACAGUUUAGGCGGUGGUGGUAGUAAUGACGAUGGUGGUUAAAUGCUUUCCCCAUGUACGUUAAUUCGAAAAAAAUGUACAUUAAGUUGUAAAAUCUCUUCGGUUCUGAUAUUUUAUUCUGCUUAUUUAUUUCCGAUUGAAUAUAUUUUUAUAUAUUUAAAAAUUGGAAUUUUGGAAAAUUGAAAUUAGGCGGGAAUGAGGUAAUCCGUAAAGGAAAGGGUAGCGACGUCGUCAGGAGCCGGAAGAGGAAGCGAUGAAGUGAGGCUACGGUGGUCUUCUGUCCUCGGGGCAAUCGUGGUGAACGGAUGCGUGUGGACGAUAGAGAUUGAACGCAACUGGAUAGCCAACAGAGAUUAACAGAUGACAUUGUACUCAACUGAAUGUGUCAGCUCCUUUGAAAACCUCAAAAUCAUCUCAUCCAAAGAAGCAUUUGCACUAAUUCCACAACCCAGUUAUUGGAAAGGUUUUGUGUAUUAUAAACUGGUGCCCAUUUAAGCUUGAAUUUCAAGGGCUCAAAGAACUUAGAAUACCAGCUUUUGAAACAAUUCAGGGAAAAAUGAGAGGCAAAACAGUUUUAAAAUAUUUAUUUAUAGUUUUUAGAAGGGACUUUCAGUGUAUUGAAUGUGUUCCUUUUGAAGUUCAGAAAACACUCCCUUAACCCUUUCGUUACUGUAUUUCUGUUGAGAUGCUUUGUGUUUCUUUCAAUUACUUUAAAUAUAACAAAGAAUUUAGUAAAAUAACUUAGUUAU